rnacentral:rRNA from 1 species
UACGAAGGUUCCGAGCGUUGUUCGGAAUCACUGGGCGUAAAGGGCGCGUAGGCGGCGUGGUAAGUCAGAUGUGAAAUCCCGGGGCUCAACCCCGGAACUGCAUCCGAUACUGCCAUGCUAGAGUGAUGGAGAGGUAGGUGGAAUUCUUGGUGUAGCAGUGAAAUGCGUAGAGAUCAAGAGGAACACUCGUGGCGAAGGCGGGCUACUGGACAUUUACUGACGCUGAGGCGCGAAGGCCAGGGUAGCGAAAGGG